AAAGUCGUAACAAGGUCUCCGUUGGUGAACCAGCGGAGGGAUCAUUACCGAGUUUUCAACUCCCAAACCCCCUGUGAACCUGUACCUCGAUGUUGCUUCGGCGGGCAGCUUGCCCGGCCUCCGCGCCGGGCGCCCGCCGGGGGACCCAAACCUCUCUGUCUGUAACGAGCGUGUUCUGAGUGGAUUUUAAAAAAUGAAUCAAAACUUUCAACAACGGAUCUCUUGGUUCUG
rnacentral:misc_RNA from 1 species